rnacentral:lncRNA from 1 species
GAACAUUGUUUUUUUUCUUGUGAAAGCUACAUGUAACGCAUGGGACGAUAACUGUUUUCAACAUACCACGCUUUGGAAAAGUGUUUUAAAACUGCCCAAACUUUCUGCAAACCGUUCUGAAGUUGACAACAAGGAGCAAACAGCUCAGCGUAAAGAAGACCGGAGUGUCUGGAGGAAUGGAGAGGUAGCUGGGUGCCUCAAAGAAGAGAAGUUGUGCAGAUGUACUGAAGCGCUUGACUCAAACUGACUCUUUCAGGAGGACGCAGCUGGGAUCCUUCAUGGCCAAAUCCAGUUUUUCAGGCAAUCUUUUGGAAUUUGUCCGAGCCAAACCUCUGUAAUGAAUCCAACUAGCACGAAACAUUAAUGUGUAUCAAGAUUACCUGUCAUCUAUGUCCUGGAUAGUAUCGGGCAAAGGUUGUGAAAGAGUUUCUGGAAGAAAGAAGGCAAAUAUUCCACUGACAAUAGGAGCCCCGCCAUAUAUAAAACCAGGUAUCCAUGGAUAAUCAUCUCCCAGAAGAAGAACCAUCGGGGCCACCAUU